GAUGAAGAACGUAUCGAAAUGCGAUAAGUAGUGUGAAUUGCAGAAUUCAGUGAAUCAUCGAAUCUUUGAACGCACAUUGCGCCCCUUGGUAUUCCAUGGGGCAUGCCUGUUCGAGCGUCAUUUGUACCUUCAAGCCUUGCUUGGUGUUGGGUGUUUGUCUCGCCUCUGCGCGCAGACUCGCCUCAAAACAAUUGGCAGCCGGCGUAUUGAUUUCGGAGCGCAGUACAUCUCGCGCUUUGCACUCAGAACGACGACGUCCAAAAGUACAUUUUUACACUCUUGACCUCGGAUCAGGUAGGGAUACCCGCUGAACUUAAGCAUAUCAAUAAGCGGAGGA
rnacentral:misc_RNA from 1 species